GCGGGGGUCGCCCAGCCCGGUCAAAGGCGUUAGGUUGAGGGCCUAAUCUCUCAGGAGUUCAUGGGUUCAAAUCCCAUCUCCCGCA
rnacentral:tRNA from 2 species